GAGACANGNAUCCAGACCCUACGGGGUGCAGCAGGCGNGNAACCUUCACAANGCACUAUAUGUGUGAUGGGGAGACUCCAAGUGGUAGCAUAACGCUNUNUUNUGAAAAGUUAAAACAUCUUUUCGAAUAAGUGGUGGGUAAGACGGUUGCCAGCCGCCGCGGUAAUAACCGCGCCACAAGUGGUAAUNUCGAUUAUUGGGUCUAAAGCAUCCGUAGCCGGUGCUAUAAGUUUUCUGUGAAAUCCAAAUGAAAACAUUUGGGCGUGCAGGAAAUACUGUAGCACUUGAGAUUGGGAGGAGCAAGAGGUACUCGAGGGGAAGGGGUAAAAUCCAUUAAUCCCUCGGGGGUCACCAGUGGCGAAGGCGUCUUGCUAUAACAAGUCUGACGGUGAGGGAUGAAAGCCAGGGGAGCGAAGAGGAUUAGAUACCCUUGUAGUCCUGGCUGUAAACGAUGUCCGUUAGGUAUU
rnacentral:rRNA from 1 species